GGUGAGAUUGAGAGAGAGAAUUGUGCUUGUGUUUGGCGAACAAAUUGAAAUAGCUCAACCGGCAAAAAAGCUUUCCAGAGUUUCACAAUUUGGCGCGAAGAAAACGAAAUCGAAAUCUCUUUUGGGCUAGGGCAGUACGAAUAUCGCGGGGUGUUUAUAUUUACUAUAUCAUUCACUCACUUUCUGAGUAAAAGAGUCGUAGCGUAGUAUUUCUCUCGCUCAUUUGCAGAAUAUUGUGUUUUUUUUUGUAUUUGAACCCUGCUCUUGGGAAAAGUUGCGGUCAGUAUUCUAGGAAUUAGUAAUAUACGGUUUUAUUACAACUAUGUCAUUUUCCAGUCGCAUCACUUGUGUUUGUUUAUUUUUUGUGCUUGCCAUUUUCCACAGGGAUACGUAUACGAACACAAUGCCAGGGUAUCUCCUUACUGGCCACUCAUUACUUGCAGUUUUCCCUUUGUUUCAGUCGCUUUAUCAGCAUUUCAAAUGUGGGAACCACAGACGGACCCCGCCCCCCGCCUACCCGCCCACCACUUCCACCGAAGGGCGUGGCGACAGUGGGACGCCUUAACAAAUUCUAGGGCAAAACAAAUUUCCCAAAGCGCAACAGUUGACACGAAGAGAAUUAUUUUGGUGUUCUUCUGUUCUCUCUUUUAGAUUCUUUUUUGCGUUCUUGGGAAUAGGAAAACAAUUUGGCAAACAGCAUUUGACUACUAAUUGUUGAUGCUUUCGCUGCUGUUUGCUGUAACUCUUUUAUCUCUGGGCCAGCUACAACACAAAUACAACCAAAGUCAAGUUCAUAAUUUCAAUUUUCAAGGUUUUUUCAACAAAAGGGGCAACGAAAAAAAAAAAACAGAAACGAAAAAGAACAGCAGAAAACAAAGUAAACAUGCCUAGUAAAAUAGCGCGAAAAGAGUGCAAAAAAAAAAGUGUGCAAAAAAGAAAGAGUAAUGGGGGGGGGGGGAAAUCGGGGGGGUCUGUCGACAGUGUUUGUGUUUUAUUCGACUUCUCUUUUUUAAUUUUUUUCCCGGCUCCCCAUUCUCCACCCAUUUGUUUUGCUUUUGGCCUUUUGUUUACGAGUGUUUUAUGGCGGGCCAAUAAUUGGCCUUCACUCCCACUGGGGUCCUCGAUAUGGGCGAUCGAUCCAGAUGCAGAUUGAGAAAUAAUUAGGCACUAUCUGAGUGAACUCAAGUAGUAGCGAAUGCGAAUAAUUAAAUCGAGUCAGCGAAAUCAGAUAUGAAUUGCAAUUAUCUAUCAAUUUUAUUAUCAUUAUUAUAAGUUAUCAUCCAAGUUGUACCAAAGGUUCUUAACUGCGAGGAACAGAAAUAUUUGUUUAUUUAUUUGGUUAUUUGCUAAUAUUCUUAAUGAAUUUACUAAAUAUAA